rnacentral:rRNA from 1 species
GAUGAACGCUGGCGGCGUGCCUAAUACAUGCAAGUCGAGCGAACGGACGAGAAGCUUGCUUUUCUGAUGUUAGCGGCGGACGGGUGAGUAACACGUGGAUAACCUACCUAUAAGACUGGGAUAACUUCGGGAAACCGGAGCUAAUACCGGAUAAUAUUUUGAACCGCAUGGUUCAAAAGUGAAAGACGGUCUUGCUGUCACUUAUAGAUGGAUCCGCGCUGCAUUAGCUAGUUGGUAAGGUAACGGCUUACCAAGGCAACGAUGCAUAGCCGACCUGAGAGGGUGAUCGGCCACCCUGGAACUGAGACACGGUCCAGACUCCUACGGGAGGCAGCAGUAGGGAAUCUUCCGCAAUGGGCGAAAGCCUGACGAAGCAACGCCGCGUGAGUGAUGAAGGUCUUCGGAUCGUAAAACUCUGUUAGUAGGGAAGAACAUAUGUGUAAGUAACUGUGCACAUCUUGACGGUACCUAAUCAGAAAGCCACGGCUAACUACGUG